AUCACUUUAUCAGUAUUACCAUGAUUGCGUAAUCGUCGAUUCACGGCGACAUUAAUAGACCUAUGAUGGAACUAGUAAGUCUACAAUGGAACUAGAAUGUCUAUGAUGAAAUUAACCCAAGUUUACAGUUACGCAACUUACCGGUCUGCAUAGGCUCUCGCACGGACACACGCGGGAUGAUACCGGGGGCCUUGAUAC